CCUACGGGGGGCAGCAGUGGGGAAUAUUGGACAAUGGGGGGAACCCUGAUCCAGCCAUGCCGCGUGUGUGAAGAAGGCCCUCGGGUUGUAAAGCACUUUCAGUGAGGAAGAACGCCUGGUGGUUAAUACCCAUCAGGAAAGACAUCACUCACAGAAGAAGCACCGGCUAACUCCGUGCCAGCAGCCGCGGUAAUACGGAGGGUGCGAGCGUUAAUCGGAAUUACUGGGCGUAAAGCGCGCGUAGGUGGCUUGAUAAGCCGGUUGUGAAAGCCCCGGGCUCAACCUGGGAACGGCAUCCGGAACUGUCAAGCUAGAGUGCAGGAGAGGAAGGUAGAAUUCCCGGUGUAGCGGUGAAAUGCGUAGAGAUCUGGAGGAAUACCAGUGGCGAAGGCGGCCUUCUGGACUGACACUGACACUGAGGUGCGAAAGCGUGGGUAGCAAACAGGAUUAGAUACCCUAGUAGUC
rnacentral:rRNA from 1 species